rnacentral:pre_miRNA from 14 species
ACCUUGAAACAAAUGUCUAAAUUCCCUACCUGAAAGACCCCCAGAGUGGGGAGACCCUCACUCAAGUUUUGCGAUGAUGCGAACCCCCAAGAACUCACACAAGACC